rnacentral:rRNA from 1 species
UACGUAGGGGGCAAGCGUUGUCCGGAAUCAUUGGGCGUAAAGCGCGUGUAGGCGGCUUGGUAAGUCUGCUCUGAAAGCCCGGGGCUCAACCCCGGAGGUGCAUCCGAAACUCUGGGGCUGGAGGUCGGAAGAGGAGGGUGGAAUACCCAGUGUAGAGGUGAAAUUCGUAGAUAUUGGGUGGAACACCGGUGGCGAAAGCGGCUCUCUGGUCCGGACCUGACGCUGAGGCGCGAAAGCGUGGGGAGCAAACAGG